GCGCUGCUCCAGCUCCACGUGCGCCCGGGGAUGCAAUGCAGCCCUGCAGACAAGCGUCUCCGGCAGGACGUGGGCCGCGGGUCUCGGAGCCUCCUUCACUUAGGAAUCCUCCGGAAUCCGCCCCACUGCACGCCAGCGGUCGGAGGCCUGGGGCGUGCUGCCCACGUUACUGACGGCCGGGAAGGAAAGAUGGCAGCGACUAUGAUGGCUUCAGAGAGAGGGCAACCAACGAGAGGACGCCGCCCGCCAGAGCGUCCACACCGCCGCCUUUUCUGCGGUUGCGUCCUGGGAAGGCGGGAAUUGUGUGGCUACGGGCGGGUCGUCCUCUCCACCAUUUUUUAAUGGAAAAAAUAAUAAUUCUCAAAGACG
rnacentral:antisense_RNA from 1 species